CAGCCCGACGCCUGGAAGGUUUAUGUGUCCAAGGGCACCACGGUCACCCGGAGGAAGACCUUCAAGGAAGUGGCCAACGCUGUUAAGAUCUCGGCCAAGCUCAUGGGACACGUGAUGGCGCGGCGGGUCAAGGCCACCAUCCUCUACGGCACGGAGACCGGGAAGUCGCGCACCUACGCCUGGAACCUGUGCCAGCUCUUCCGCCGGGCCUUCGACCCCAAGGUGCUGUGCAUGGACGAGUAUGACGUGGUGGCCCUGGAGCACGAGAGCCUGGUCCUGGUGGUCACCAGCACAUUUGGGAACGGGGACCCGCCAGAAUGUGCUGAG